AUACGUAGGGGGCGAGCGUUGUCCGGAAUGAUUGGGCGUAAAGGGCGCGUAAGCGGCGCGGUAAGUCUGGAGUGAAAGUCCUGCUUUCAAGGUGGGAAUUGCUUUGGAUACUGCCGCGCUUGAGUGCAGGAGAGGUUAUCGGAAUUCCCGGUGUAGCGGUGAAAUGCGUAGAGAUCGGGAGGAACACCAGUGGCGAAGGCGGGUAACUGGACUGCAACUGACGCUGAGGCGCGAAAGUGUGGGGAGCAAACAGGAUUAGAUACCCUGGUAGUCCACACUGUAAACGAUGAAUGCUAGGUGUAAGAGGUAUCGACCCCUUUUGUGCCGGAGUCAACACAAUAAGCAUUCCGCCUGGGGAGUACGGCCGCAAGGUUGAAACUCAAAGGAAUUGACGGGG
rnacentral:rRNA from 1 species